GGCUCAGGAUGAACGCUAGCGGCAGGCCUAACACAUGCAAGUCGAGGGGUAACAGGGAGUAGCUUGCUACUUUGCUGACGACCGGCGCACGGGUGCGUAACGCGUAUACAAUCUGCCUUGUACUGGGGGAUAGCCUUUAGAAAUGAAGAUUAAUACCCCAUAGUAUAUGACUGUGGCAUCACAGCCAUAUUAAAGGUUACGGUACAAGAUGAGUAUGCGUCCUAUUAGCUAGAUGGUGUGGUAACGGCACACCAUGGCGACGAUAGGUAGGGGCCCUGAGAGGGGGAUCCCCCACACUGGUACUGAGACACGGACCAGACUCCUACGGGAGGCAGCAGUGAGGAAUAUUGGACAAUGGAGGCAACUCUGAUCCAGCCAUGCCGCGUGCAGGAAGACUGCCCUAUGGGUUGUAAACUGCUUUUAUACGGGAAGAAACACCCCCACGUGUGGGGGCUUGACGGUACCGUAAGAAUAAGCACCGGCUAACUCCGUGCCAGCAGCCGCGGUAAUACGGAGGGUGCAAGCGUUAUCCGGAAUCAUUGGGUUUAAAGGGUCCGUAGGCGGACGAUUAAGUCAGAGGUGAAAGUCUGCAGCUCAACUGUAGAAUUGCCUUUGAUACUGGUUGUCUUGAAUUAUUGUGAAGUGGUUAGAAUAAGUAGUGUAGCGGUGAAAUGCAUAGAUAUUACUUAGAAUACCAAUUGCGGAAGGCAGUAUCACUAACAAUAUAUGACG
rnacentral:rRNA from 1 species